rnacentral:rRNA from 1 species
UACGGGGGGGGCGAGCGUUGUUCGGAAUUAUUGGGCGUAAAGGGCGCGUAGGCGGUGUGGUAAGUCUGUUGUGAAACCUCCAGGCUCAACUUGGAGAUUGCAUCAGAAACUGCCGUGCUAGAGUGUGGGAGAGGAGAGUGGAAUUCCUGGUGUAGCGGUGAAAUGCGUAGAUAUUGGGAAGAACACCGGUGGCGAAGGCGGCCUGCUGGGCAGUGACUGACGCUGAGGCGCGACAGCGUGGGGAGCAAACAGG